rnacentral:rRNA from 1 species
CCUACGGGAGGCAGCAGUGAGGAAUAUUGGUCAAUGGACGAGAGUCUGAACCAGCCAAGUAGCGUGAAGGAUGACUGCCUUAUGGGUUGUAAACUUCUUUUAUAUGGGAAUAAAAUAUUCCACGUGUGGGAUUUUGUAUGUACCAUAUGAAUAAGGAUCGGCUAACUCCGUGCCAGCAGCCGCGGUAAUACGGAGGAUCCGAGCGUUAUCCGGAUUUAUUGGGUUUAAAGGGAGCGUAGGUGGAUUGUUAAGUCAGUUGUGAAAGUUUGCGGCUCAACCAUAAAAUUGCAGUUGAAACUGGCAGUCUUGAGUACAGUAGAGGUGGGCGGAAUUCGUGGUGUAGCGGUGAAAUGCUUAGAUAUCACGAAGAACUCCGAUUGCGAAGGCAGUUCACUGGACUGCAACUGACACUGAGGCUCGAAAGUGUGGGUAUCAAACAGGAUUAGAUACCCGUGUAGUC